AUGUCAUAUAGUGUCAACAGCCGCGCGGAAAAAAAUGUCUCUCCGCUUAACCACUUCCACCAGAAGGGGGACCAGUCCGUCUGCCGUAGACGGAGAGUGGCCGACGGCGAGCCGAGGCGGAGGAGACGCCAGGGUGAGCAAGCCGACUCUGGGUGUAGAGGUUCCACUCCGGAUCCGGGGACUCGCCGAUCCAGCGAUCCGCAUCUUGCCGCGAUCCCUCGGAUUUUAAUCAUGCCUCUCUGUCUGUGUGUGAGUGCAGGCAGGCUGACAAUGAUUUCCUCAGUGAUUACGUACAGAGCGAGUCCCUGCGGGGUAGGGGCCCCCUCUGGAGCCAUCCUGAUGGCUUUGGGGGCCUUGCUUCCAUUUUCCAUUAUUAUGUGGACUACCGGAGCGACAGCGCAGUCCAAGACCUUGCAGAAGACAAUGUGACAGAGGACCAGCACAGUCCCGGGCAGACUGCCAUUCCAAGCGGUAAUGCUCCAUUUCAUAUUUCAUCAUUUUCGGCUGGAAAGUGGAUCAUGUGUCUGUGUGUGUGCGUGUGUUUCUUCUGUCUGUCUGUCUGUCUGUCUGUCUGUCUGUAAAAUCUUUGUUGGGUUCAGAAUGAUAUCAAGUAAGUUUCCUGUUUUUGAGGUUUUCAUAUCACGUGAACUGAGGGGCCGAGCGGUGAACCUCUCGUUUGUGUACAUGCGCACAUGCAGGGGUGCUUAUAGCUGCCCUUGUGUGUCUGUGCGUUGCUGCCAUUUUUUUUAGACUCUUUGUUUCCCAACCUUCUGUAUGAUGUAGAAUAGAGCUACCCAGAUGAAUGUGUCCUGUCUCCAUGUGUGCCAUUCACAGUGGCCCUCCAGGAAAAUAGCGGUAAUUCAGGUCAGGCUAGCAGAACCCCCCCUUUGAAUGAAGCCUGCUCCUGAUGCACCACACUAUAUUUUCAUUUCAUUUGUCUCUGGUAAAGGUUAAGUCUCAGGUGUGGUUAUUUUAAACCCGAUAUGGAUGGUUUUGCCCAGCAGGCUGGGGACCCUGGGUACUCCGAGGCUGCCACAUUAGUCCAGCGUUUACCCACAGCUUUCUGAGUGCUCCUGUAUGAAAUGCAGGAGCUGCAUGCACCACUACAAAAUAUUCCACUUUUUCCCCAACUGCUUAUGACUACGAUAUUACGUUGUCAGGUUAUUUGUGUGCUACAAAAGUCUGCUUUAGCAUGCGGAGGGUAUUUUGAGCUAGAUUUAAGAUUCUUGAACUACACCUUAUUUAAACAAUCUAAUGCCUUCGGACAUCGCGCUGCACAGAAAAGGCAAUUUCUGUAAUUGUCUGUCCAAUUUACCCUUUUACCACAUAGUUGAUCAGGAAAGUUGGUGAUCUUUGCUCCGGUUUUCUUUUUGUAACGCGCUCGCUCGUCCCUGGAAAAAGCAGAGCAACAUCUUUCUGCCGCUGCGUUAAUGCGUAUUGACGGGUAUUGGUGGGUGGUUCUGUGGCAAGAAACUGCCUCCUUAGCCCAUCUAACCCCAGCUCAAGGGAUGAAGGACUGGGCGUAAGAGGCGGACUUGCCUCGGAGGCCUCCUGUCAUCCAGAGCCAGAGCAGAGCUAAUGAGUGUGCCUGAUUACAACGACCCCCUCAGACACACGAAUAUCCCCUCUCCCCUCUCCCCAUCCCUCCGCCACCUCUAUCUCCAGAGUGAGGGGAGACAGCCGCCACAUGAUCGAUGUCUGCCUGUGGAGAAAUCAGGAGGGCGCACAAAUUAAUUUCUCACUUUCCUCAUUUGACUUCGUCUGACUGAUUUCUUUUUUAACCCCGUCGUAGGAUGCGGCACGACAAAUGGCCACUGAGGAGAAGGCGGUUUUGUGGCGGUAAACUUUAACGGCGGUGUGAGAUUUCGCUCGCCAUUUCCCAAUUCGUCACCUCCGACUUUGUCAAACGUGUCCUUGCAGCUUGCGCGUCGCACGGUCUUCGCCGUAGCAACAGUAAUCCGUCCUAGCGGUUAAACCACUACCCAAACAAAUCCCUUUUUAACGUCAAAUUGAAAAGCAGUGGAAAAGCAUACCUGCUUUUCUUGCAGGUGCCAAUUGGACGGACACGGCCACAAUAGCCAUUACAGUCCUGACAAGCUUAGGGCUUAAUCAGACAUGGUGUCAAGAUCUGCCUCAUAAGUAGACCCCCAAUCGUGCUCUUCUGUGACUCUGCAAGCGUUCUGCAGGCCCUGCAUCCUGCUCCUUAUUCAUGUUUGAUAUGUAGUAAAGGCAAAGGAGAAAUGCUAACAAAAGAGGCAUUCUAAAAGAUAGACAGUAUUAUGCAUAGUAUAGAGGGGCAGAAACAGUGUGAUAUCUGAGAUUUAAUGAGGCUGUGCACUUUUUUACCCAGAGAGUGUGGAGCGGGCUUAAGAUCUGCAGCCUGGCUUUACCACUGUGCUGCCUGUGUGUAAUUAUAACCACAUGCCCCGUGCUUUUUAUUCUCUCUUAUAUAUACAUCCUUUUCUUUCUUUCUUUCUUUCUCCCUUUCUUUUUUUGCUCGUGGCUAUGUCAGAUUGAGGCUGUUUUUUGGGCCAAAGUGGAGUGGACUGAGGCAAAUAGAAGUGUUCCAGAGAUCUGAAGGGGCGUCUGGGUGGCACGGUGCCGUAGUGUAGAGUUGCGUAGCGUCGUGGCGCGGCGCAUGAGACCGGCUCUGGCUGAGGUUGAGGCUGCCCACAGAUCAAUGUACUGCAGGGCUCACUACGGCAGGAAGAGGAAAGGACUCUUUCACUCCACCACUUCAGAAAAUCAUAUUCUCUAUUAUUCAUUUCCUUUGAUGUUUUACUGCACUAAUGGCAUGGCAAGGCGCUCCGUUCAAUAUUAUCACUCCCUGGGAGAGAGCGAGUGAGGCAGGGUGAGAGAGAGCAUUUGGUAUGUUCAAAUGCUGUUUCUCAUUUAACUGCUUUGAUUUCCAUUCUUCUUUGUAAGCUCAUAUCUUUUUUUUCCGUUGUUUUAAUGAUGGAUGAUGGCGUCUGUAUACCUGUGAUUAUAUGUGCUACUUCAUGUAUUGCUCUCUGUGUUGUCUCCAUUGUUUGUUCUUGCUCCUAUAAUUGUUUUGCACAUUUCCUCCGUCUGUGCUACUCUUAUUUUUAUCUCAGCAUGCAUCAUAAAAUUUUCAUAAAUUUACUGCAUGUUUAUUUGGAACAUAAAGCAAGGUGGGGAAAUGUUUUCUGUCAGCGCGGCGCUCACUUCGAGCUUGUAAUGUGUUUAGCCGUUUAGGAGAGAUGGCUUUUGACAAACACCUCUGCUAAUCUACUUUCAAAUUUCAAAUGCAUCAAAAUAUUAAACAGCAAUUAAUCCUUAAUAUGAAUCUAGGGGACUUGAGG
rnacentral:lncRNA from 1 species